rnacentral:lncRNA from 1 species
GCAGGAAGCUGGUGGAAGGAACUGGCUCCGCAGGCAGGGAGGUCUCGCCCAGGAAAUGCUCUGUUGGCCUCGGCUUCCUGCGCACGCAGCUGGGCCCGGACCCAGGGUUGGAGUCGAGACGUACCCGGGCUGGACGACCCCGGGCGUUGGCGCGCCCGCUGCUGCGGUUCGUGCUGUGCUCGGCUCGGCUGUGGAGGAAGGUUGGAUCGAGGCUGGAGGCCAGAAGUGCAGGAGCCGCCUCGCAGGCGGGAGGAGUCGGUAGCCAUGGUCUCUGAAAACUGGGCCCUGUAAACAAUUUUCAGGCGCCAGGAACAGAAGAACCGGCAGAAACAGCCCUAGAGCUUGAGCCAAAUGGACGGACUGUUGGCGCUGCUGAGGGCGAAGGUGCCCAAACUCCUCAAAGUGGAGCAGCAAAGCAACCACCAGAGAUGGACAAGAAAAAUGAAAAGUCAAAGAAAAUUAGCAGAAAUCAAAGGCAGUUGCUAAAGCAGUGAGAAACCGUUCACGCCACGAUGGAAACCGAGUUGAUGAAGGAGUCUGGGAAACG